rnacentral:rRNA from 1 species
GACGAACGCUGGCGGCGUGCUUAACACAUGCAAGUCGAACGGAAAGGCCCUGCUUUUGUGGGGUGCUCGAGUGGCGAACGGGUGAGUAACACGUGAGUAACCUGCCCUUGACUUUGGGAUAACUUCAGGAAACUGGGGCUAAUACCGGAUAGGAGCUCCUGCUGCAUGGUGGGGGUUGGAAAGUUUCGGCGGUUGGGGAUGGACUCGCGGCUUAUCAGCUUGUUGGUGGGGUAGUGGCUUACCAAGGCUUUGACGGGUAGCCGGCCUGAGAGGGUGACCGGCCACAUUGGGACUGAGAUACGGCCCAGACUCCUACGGGAGGCAGCAGUGGGGAAUAUUGCACAAUGGGCGGAAGCCUGAUGCAGCAACGCCGCGUGCGGGAUGAUGGCCUUCGGGUUGUAAACCGCUUUCGCCUGUGACGAAGCGUGAGUGACGGUAAUGGGUAAAGAAGCACCGGCUAACUACGUG